rnacentral:rRNA from 1 species
GCACAAGCGGUGGAUGAUGUGGAUUAAUCGAUGCAACGCGAAAACCUUACCUACCCUUGACAUGUCUGGAACCUUGCUGAGAGGCGAGGGUGCCUUCGGGAGCCAGAACACAGGUGCUGCAUGGCUGUCGUCAGCUCGUGUCGUGAGAUGUUGGGUUAAGUCCCGCAACGAGCGCAACCCUUGUCAUUAGUUGCCAUCAUUUAGUUGGGCACUCUAAUGAGACUGCCGGUGACAAACCGGAGGAAGGUGGGGAUGACGUCAAGUCCUCAUGGCCCUUAUGGGUAGGGCUUCACACGUCAUACAAUGGUCGGUACAGAGGGUUGCCAAGCCGCGAGGUGGAGCCAAUCCCUUAAAGCCGAUCGUAGUCCGGAUCGUAGUCUGCAACUCGACUACGUGAAGUCGGAAUCGCUAGUAAUCGCGAAUCAGCAUGUCGCGGUGAAUACGUUCCCGGGCCUU